GAUGAACGCUGGCGGCGUGCCUAAUACAUGCAAGUCGAGCGAACGGACGAGAAGCUUGCUUCUCUGAUGUUAGCGGCGGACGGGUGAGUAACACGUGGAUAACCUACCUAUAAGACUGGGAUAACUUCGGGAAACCGUAGCUAAUACCGGAUAAUAUUUUGAACCGCAUGGUUCAAAAGUGAAAGACGGUCUUGCUGUCACUUAUAGAUGGAUCCGCGCUGCAUUAGCUAGUUGGUAAGGUAAAGGCUUACCAAGGCAACGAUGCAUAGCCGACCUGAGAGGGUGAUCGGCCACACUGGAACUGAGACACGGUCCAGACUCCUACGGGAAGCAGCAGUAGGGAAUCUUCCGCAAUGGGCGAAAGCCUGACGGAGCAACGCCGCGUGAGUGAUGAAGGUCUUCGGAUCGUAAAACUCUGUUAUUAGGGAAGAACAUAUGUGUAAGUAACUGUGCACAUCUUGACGGUACCUAAUCAGAAAGCCACGGCUAACUACGUG
rnacentral:rRNA from 1 species